UUCCAACGACGCACGGCUGGGUUCCGAUUGACGACACACGAGGACCCGUCUUCUCUUCGAACAAGUUGCAUCUAGUGAAGAAGUGUGUGGGAAUGGCUGCUCAGAUCAGUAGCAAGAUCAACUUGUAAGCUUUUAUCAUAUUGAUCAUGUGGCUUAUUGUCUCCACACUUGGUCAAAGCCAACUAAGCUUGAAGUCUAGUAGUAACAACAACAACAAUACUUCAUCUCGAGAUGCCUUUGACUUUCACUGCAGUACUACUAGUACUAGAAAAGGAUCAGAUAAAGGUGAUAUCUAUUAAUCAGAGGAUUGUGCCAUCAACAACAAAAAGGGUAGCUGUAAUUUUAGAUACUAUGAAUAAUUGUUGUAUGUAAUUGAAUUUUGUUAGCUUUUAUUUGUGUUUUUACAAGAUAGAGAGGUAUUUGUAUGAGAAUGGAUUGUUGAUAAAGGCAACUAUUGUUGAGAUACUCUCAUUAUUUUUUAUUUUUUUUUUGCCAUCAUCUUGGGUUGGAUAUUUAUUUAUACUAGUUAUAUAUAAUUUUGAUUUGUUGAUA